rnacentral:rRNA from 1 species
UUGGAGGGCAAGUCUGGUGCCAGCAGCCGCGGUAAUUCCAGCUCCAAUAGCGUAUAUUAAAGUUGUUGCAGUUAAAAAGCUCGUAGUUGAAUUUCGGGGUUAGUAGGUUGGUCAUGCCUCCGGUAUGUACUGAUCUCACUGAUUCCUCCUUCCUUAUGAACCGUAAUGCCAUUAAUUUGGUGUUGCGGGGAAUUUGGACUGUUACCUUGAAAAAAUUAGAGUGUUUAAAGCAGGCUAACGCUUGAAUACAUUAGCAUGGAAUAAUGAAAUAGGACGUUCGAUCUUAUUUUGUUGGUUUCUAGGAUUGACGUAAUGAUUAAUAGGGAUAGUUGGGGGCAUUAGUAUUCAAUUGUCAGUGGUGAAAUUCUUGGAUUUAUUGAAGACUAACUACUGCGAAAGCAUUUGCCAAGGAUGUUUUCAUUAAUCAAGAACGAAAGUUAGGGGAUCGAAGACGAUCAGAUACCGUCGUAGUCUUAACCAUAAACUAUGCCGACUAGGGAUCGGAUGAUGUUAAUUUUUUAAUGACUCAUUCGGCGCCUUACGGGAAAC